CGUGUAGGCGGUCAGGUAAGUGGAAUGUGAAAUCCCUCGGCUCACCCGAGGACCUGCAUCCCAAACUGCCUGGCUUGAGUAUGGGAGAGGAUGAGGGAAUUCCUGGUGUAGCGGUGAAAUGCGUAGAUAUCAGGAGGAACACCGGUGGCGAAGGCGCUCAUCUGGCCCAAUACUGACGCUGAAGCGCGAAAGCUAGGGAGCAAACG
rnacentral:rRNA from 1 species